UACAACAUAGCGUUAAUGCAUCGGAUCCCAUUAGAAUUCUGUAGUUAAGCGCGCUUAGGUUAGAGUAGUAUUGGGAUAAGUGACCGCCCGGGAAGUCCUAGUGUUUUAC
rnacentral:rRNA from 1 species